rnacentral:rRNA from 1 species
CCUACGGGAGGCAGCAGUGGGGAAUUUUGGACAAUGUGCGAAAGCCUGAUCCAGCCAUGCCGCGUGAGUGAAGAAGGCCUUCGGGUUGUAAAGCUCUUUUAGUCGGAAAGAAAGAGUUGCAAUGAAUAAUUGUGAUUUAWGACGGUACCGACAGAAAAAGCACCGGCUAACUACGUGCCAGCAGCCGCGGUAAUACGUAGGGUGCGAGCGUUAAUCGGAAUUACUGGGCGUAAAGGGUGCGCAGGCGGUCUUGCAAAUCAGAUGUGAAAGCCCCGGGCUUUAACCUGGGAAUUGCGUUUGAAACUACAAGGCUAGAGUACAGCAGAGGGGAGUGGAAUUCCAUGUGUAGCAGUGAAAUGCGUAGAGAUGUGGAAGAACGCCGAUGGCGAAGGCAGCUCCCUGGGUUGACACUGACGCUCAUGCACGAAAGCGUGGGGAGCAAACAGGAUUAGAUACCCUGGUAGUCCACGCCCUAAACGAUGUCAACUAGUUGUCGGAUCUAAUUAAGGAUUUGGUAACGUAGCUAACGCGUGAAGUUGACCGCCUGGGGAGUACGGUCGCAAGAUUAAAACUCAAAGGAA